AGAAAAGAUAUAAACGGAGACAGAGAAUGCACCAUGGUUGUUCUUAAUGUGUUUGCAGACCUCUGUGACUUUCUAGGGCAGGAGCCUUGUGUAUCUUCUGGUCCAGCACACAGGAAGCACCAAUAAGAAGGAGCUUGAGACACACAGGAAGACUACAAUUCUAUGCAGUAACAUUAUUUAAUUGUGAGACCUUCUACCACUUUUGCAUCCCCUACAGAAUUAGCGAGAGAAGUGCAAUCUCUCAGCCUGGAGUAUUGAGUCACCGCAUGAAGGUGCAUGUUCUGGAGUUGCCUGGCUCUGGAAUCCAAUUUGCAUGAAUGAAAAAUAAACUGUUGUCAUGUUAAGCCAUUGAGGUUUUGGGGUCAUUUGUGGCAAUAGCAUAACCCAACCUUUUCUAAUAAAUGUGUUUUCUGAUGAAAAAUUUAAAU
rnacentral:lncRNA from 1 species